rnacentral:rRNA from 1 species
GAUGAACGCUGGCGGCAUGCCUAACACAUGCAAGUCGAGCGAGCGGCGGACGGGGGAGUAAAGUAUGGGGUAUGCGCGAUAGAGGGGGAUAACUACUGGAAACGGUAGCUAAAACCGCAUACUAUCGGAUAAUCCAUAUGGGAUUAGCUAGUAGGUGAGGUAAUGGUUCACCUAGGCGACGAUCCCUAGCUGGUCUGAGAGGAUGAUCAGCGUCACUGGGAUGGAGGCGCGUCCCAGACUCCUAGGGAGGCAGCAGGCGGGAAUAUCGCACGAUGGGAGCAAUCCGGAUGCAGCCAUGCCGGGUGUAUGAAGAAGGCCGUCGGGUUGUAAGGUUCUUACAGCGGGGAGGCGUUACCCUAAGAAGAAGCACCGGCUAACUCCGUGCCAGCAGCCGCGGUAAUUC